rnacentral:rRNA from 1 species
UCUUGGGUCGUAAACCUCUUUUCUCAGGGAAGAACACAAUGACGGUACCUGAGGAAUCAGCAUCGGCUAACUCCGUGCCAGCAGCCGCGGUAAUACGGAGGAUGCAAGCGUUAUCCGGAAUGAUUGGGCGUAAAGCGUCCGUAGGUGGUUAUGUAAGUCUGUGGUUAAAGCGUGGGGCUCAACCCCAUAAGGGCCAUGGAAACUACACAACUAGAGUCAAGUAGGGGUAGAGGGAAUUCCCAGUGUAGCGGUGAAAUGCGUAGAGAUUGGGAAGAACACCGGUGGCGAAAGCGCUCUACUGGACUUAAACUGACACUGAGGGACGAAAGCUAGGGGAGCG